rnacentral:pre_miRNA from 1 species
CGUGCACCGGUGGGGUCCCUCGGCCUGGCCUGUGCCCUCUCACAAUCUGGGACCCCCUCUGGGGAUGUCGGAGAGCUGGUUUCAGACUGAUCCCCACAGGCCAGGCCGAGGGACCCCACUGGUGCAUG